UACGUAGGGUGCAAGCGUUGUCCGGAAUUAUUGGGCGUAAAGAGCUCGUAGGCGGUCUGUCGCGUCGGAUGUGAAAAAUCCAGGGCUUAACCCUGGGCCUGCAUUCGAUACGGGCAGACUAGAGUUCGGUAGGGGAGACUGGAAUUCCUGGUGUAGCGGUGAAAUGCGCAGAUAUCAGGAGGAACACCGGUGGCGAAGGCGGUCUCUGGC
rnacentral:rRNA from 1 species